rnacentral:SRP_RNA from 2 species
GCCGGGUGUGGUGGCGUGCGCCUGUAAUCCCAGCUACUCAGGAGGCUGAGGCAGGAUAAUUUCUUGAACCCAGGUGGCAGAGGUUGCAGUGAGCUGAGAUCACGCCACUGCACUCCCACCUGGGUGACAGGGCAAGACUCUGUCUCAA